rnacentral:rRNA from 1 species
AUUGAACGCUGGCGGCAGGCCUAACACAUGCAAGUCGAGCGGAUGAAGGGAGCUUGCUCCUGGAUUCAGCGGCGGACGGGUGAGUAAUGCCUAGGAAUCUGCCUGGUAGUGGGGGAUAACGUCCGGAAACGGGCGCUAAUACCGCAUACGUCCUGAGGGAGAAAGUGGGGGAUCUUCGGACCUCACGCUAUCAGAUGAGCCUAGGUCGGAUUAGCUAGUUGGUGGGGUAAAGGCCUACCCAGGCGACGAUCCGUAACUGGUCUGAGAGGAUGAUCAGUCACACUGGAACUGAGACACGGUCCAGACUCCUACGGGAGGCAGCAGUGGGGAAUAUUGGACAAUGGGCGAAAGCCUGAUCCAGCCAUGCCGCGUGUGUUAAGAAGGUCUUCGGAUUGUAAAGCACUUUAAGUUGGGAGGAAGGGCAGUAAGUUAAUACCUUGCUGUUUUGACGUUACCAACAGAAUAAGCACCGGCUAACUUCGUG